rnacentral:rRNA from 1 species
UCCGGUUGAUCCUGCCAGAGGUUACUGCUAUCGAGGUUCGACUAAGCCAUGCGAGUCGAAUGUAGCAAUACAUGGCGUACUGCUCAGUAACACGUGGACAACCUGCCCUUAGGUUGGGUAUAAACCCGGGAAACUGGGUAUAAUCCCCUAUAAGUCUCGGCUGCUGGAAUGCACCGAGAUUAAAAGCUCCGGCGCCUAAGGAUGGGUCUGCGGCCUAUCAGGUAGUAGUGGGUGUAGCGUACCUACUAGCCUACGACGGGUACGGGUUGUGAGAGCAAGAGCCCGGAGAUGGAUUCUGAGACACGAAUCCAGGCCCUACGGGGUGCAGCAGGCGCGAAAACUUUACAAUGCUGGCAACAGCGAUAAGGGAACCUCGAGUGCCAGGUUACAAAUCUGGCUGUCGAGAUGCCUAAAAAGCAUUUCAUAGCAAGGGCCGGGCAAGACCGGUGCCAGCCGCCGCGGUAACACCGGCGGCUCGAGUGGUAACCGUUAUUAUUGGGUCUAAAGGGUCUGUAGCCGGCCGGAUAAGUCUCUUGAGAAAUCUGGCAGCUUAACUGUCAGGCUUUCAGGAGAUACUGUCUGGCUCGAGGCCGGGAGAGGUGAGAGGUACUUCAGGGGUAGGGGUGAAAUCUUGUAAUCCUUGAAGGACCACCAGUGGCGAAGGCGUCUCACCAGAACGGACCUGACGGCAAGGGACGAAAGCUAGGGGCACGAACCGGGAUUAGAUACCCGGGUAGUCCUAGCCGUAAACGAUACUCGCUAGGUGUCGGCCACGGUGCGAC